GGACUAGGCAUGUCAAAAAAUAGGACAGUUUUGAAAUCAGUCCUGUUUCAGUUCGAUUUGCACAUGCCUAGUCUACUUUAACCCCUUAAGGACCAAACUUCUGGAAUAAAAGGGAAUCAUGACAUGUCACACAUGUCAUGUGUUCUUAAGGGGUUAAGGAGACUUUCUGGAGCCUCCCAUUGAGUUGCCAUUUGGGCAGAAGAUUCAGUUGCCCAUAAGUGGAGGUAUGCUAUUGGCCUCACUAUUCAGGGGCCCACAUUGUCACAUAUAUUUAAGGGGUGGGGUUACAGUGCCCACAGGGGAGAGAAGCAAGAAACCAAUCUGGAAGUAGAACAGGUAAGAGCAAAGCAGCAGCAGCAGCUCCUGGCCAUAGCCAAAUGUAAGCUUAUAAUAUUAUAUAUUUUUUCCCCCCCAAUAGCCAC